CUCAAAAUAUUUUGUGCAGUACAAUAAAUAAAAUACUUAAGGACAAGGCAUCUAUUUGUGCAUAAAAUUCACUCGAUUCGUUAAGGGUGAGAACCGUUGAUCACCUAACAACGUGGCUUAACCUGUGAUGCUUUAUUUUAUAGAUUCAUAAUUUUCUAAGUCAAGAAUUGUUCUCGUUUCUGCUUCUAAUAAAUAUAUUGUUUGUUUGGAUUCAGAUCAACAGGAAGGCAUUUCCUGAUAAAGAUGUAAUUUAGUAGAAAUUAAUCAUCGACUUCUACUUAAUUUAACAUGUGCACAGAGAAACAUUCACUUCAAUAAAUAAAAAAAAAAGUAAUCAUAAUAAAUCUUGAAUAAAUUUAACUGCAUGGUGAAUAUUUCUAUUUUCUUCAAUUUGAUGUCAAAUUAAUAAGUAGUUCUUUAAAGGAAACUUGAGGUGUUUGUUAUGGAACAAACCAUAUUUUCCCAGUGAAAUCUCUCCAUUAGUUUUUCUUUCAUUUUGGUGAUGAGAGCUUUGGAAAUAUUUAUUAGACCAUCUGUUCAUUUAUGUUACUUGUUACUGAGAAAAUUGAGUUUUUGUUGUCAUUAAUGUAAAUACAACUUACUUCUUUAAUACAUUUGGACAGAUUUUGCUUUUAGAUUUUACAUAAGAAAUAACAAAUGUUGACGUUUCACUACUUUGUCACCUUGGUGUAAUGAUUAUUUCCAAAGCUGUAAACAAUGAUGGAAUGAAUUAGAAACAAGAGCAUAGACUUAACUAUUAGUGCAUUUCCUUGCCUCAUUCCAUGUCUGGCUGCUGUUUUUUUUUUUUUUUUUUUUUUUUUUAAUCAAUCGUGGGAAUUUAGAUGCUAAAUGUAUGCAUUUCAACUGGGAAACGAUGUAAAAUGCUGUGAGGGAAAGUACAAACUGGCUUCAGUGUCGUCAAGUUUAUGUUGUUGGUCUCUGAUUGUUUAAUGUAAAGUAGAAAACAGUAAAAAUACGGUGAUGUCAACGUCACAUCCCGUGACUAAACCCGAGGGCUAAUUCUGUGUCUUUACAAGUUGUAUUUCACAUGUAAAUGUUUGGUCAUGUUUGAAAAAAACGAAUGCAGAUCAACUUACUCAGAACCAUUAUUUAUCUCGCGCUGGCUGAAUCUCAUCACUUUGAAUGUGACAAACUAUUGAUGGACUUUUAUUGUGUUUGGUUUUAUUGGUUUGUUUCUGUUCACUUUAAAGGGAAAUGAUGGGAAAAAUCUGAUUGUUUUUCAACAGUUAAAUCCAGAUUCAAACAAUGUUGCUGAUAAUGAACUGAGUAACAUGAUUCAGUUUGUUCAAUCUUAUUUGGUUAAAAAAAUAAAAUCUCCUGUCAGUGGUUUUAUUUUCUGAUUUAACCAAAACACCAGAUAAGUGAAACAGACAGACUUGGUCCUUCUAGGCCACCAUCAGAAUGUUUUCCUGUAUUAACUAUUACCAUGUUUUUAAAUUUUAAUGAUGGUUUAAAAAAAAAAAAAAAAACUCUUACUUUGACAGUAAAAUCUAACAUAUUCAGACAAAAACUAAACAUGCUUUGCUCUAAAAAAAAUUAUAUUUGCAGAUAUAUAGCCUAUAUGUUUAUUUUUUAGAUAAUUCAUGUGCUUAUUUAUUUAUUUAUGUAUUUAUUUGUACCAAUACAUUGAGUUUGGAGUCGAUUUGAAUGUUAAGACAAUCACUGAACGUAUUCAAGCUGUUAUUCACUUGAUUAUUGAAUUAAAGAAUAAAAUAUAUAAAGGUCUAUACAUAAGCUAUAUGUGUGGAGAAGGAUCUGCUUGUUUUCUCCUCACUAUGCAUAAGGUUAUAUGACAUCUGGAUAUUUAAACAUAUUUUAUCUCCACCUCUGUUUACAUUUUUGUCACUGUAUUUGUAUUUGAAAACAUGCACAGUAUAUAUUUUCAUCCACUUUUAAGGCUUGCUGUGAAAAAAAAACAAAAACAUUUGAAUAAAUCAUGAUUGAAUAGAUUA